rnacentral:rRNA from 1 species
UAAUACGUAGGGGGCGAGCGUUAUCCGGAUUUACUGGGCGUAAAGCGCGUUAAGGCGGCCGACAAAGUUGGUGGUGAAAUUUCAGGGCUCAACUCUGAAACUGCCUCCAAUACUGGUCGGCUUGAGUGCGAGAGAGGAAGGUGGAAUUCCCGGUGUAGUAGUGAAAUGCGUAGAUAUCGGGAGGAACACCAGUGGCGAAGGCGGCCUUCUGGCUCGCAACUGACGCUGUAGCGCGAAAGCGUGGGGAGCGAACGGGAUUAGAUACCCCGGUAGUCCACGCCCUAAACGAUGUGCACUAGGUGUUGGGCGUAUUGACGCGCUCAGUGCCGCAGCUAACGCAUUAAGUGCACCGCCUGGGGAGUACGGUCGCAAGAUUA